rnacentral:tRNA from 1 species
GGCCUCGUGGCCAAAUGGACCGGAUAAGGUGUCUGACUACGGAUCAGAAGAUUCCAGGUUCGAGUCCUGGCGGGGUCG